AACGAACGCUGGCGGCAGGCUUAACACAUGCGAGUCGAGCGCCCCGCAAGGGGAGCGGCAGACGGGUGAGUAACGCGUGGGAAUCUACCCAUCUCUACGGAAUAACGCAUGGAAACGUGUGCUAAUACCGUAUACGUCCUUCGGGAGAAAGAUUUAUCGGAGAUGGAUGAGCCCGCGUUGGAUUAGCUAGUUGGGGGGGUAAAGGCCUACCAAGGCGACGAUCCAUAGCUGGUCUGAGAGGAUGAUCAGCCACACUGGGACUGAGACACGGCCCAGACUCCUACGGGAGGCAGCAGUGGGGAAUAUUGGACAAUGGGCGCAAGCCUGAUCCAGCCAUGCCGCGUGAGUGAUGAAGGCCCUAGGGUUGUAAAGCUCUUUCACCGGUGAAGAUAAUGACGGUAACCGGAGAAGAAGCCCCGGCUAACUUCGUGCCAGCCGCCGCCGUAAGAC
rnacentral:rRNA from 1 species